ACUUACGUUACACGAGAGCCGGUAAUCUGUCAAGUGAGGAUGAAGAGCAGAACAAUGGCCACCAAUAUGCAGGAUAUAGUCACCAUCAUCUUCAGACCCUCAUUGCUUGGCAGGCUCUCCAGGCUCUCUUCUCCAGACUUGGGCAAUGGUGGAAUGGUGCCUGGAAAAUUGAUACGUGGAGCAGAAGGUUAAGAGAAUUGGCACAGUGGGACUCACAAUAUGAGACAGCUACAUGUAAUGGGUAUCCAGGACAGAGUGAUUGACAUGGGGGUUGUCUUGGUCACCGUGAGACGUGGCUGGUCAGGUGGAACUAGAGGCAAAAAGAGAAUUAUGGACAGAGCGGUGCACAGCCAUCAUGAUCCACAUAUUCAAAUCCAUGUGUGUUAAACCUAUAACCAAUAUGGUAGUGUUUCCUUAUUUCUUUCAUUCUCAAGAAAGGAAUAUUCAUAUUCAUAGACCAUACUGUACCAAAUAAAUGGGUAAAGAAAUUCAGUUCCUUU